GAGUGGUAGUUCAGUUGGUUAGAAUACCGGCCUGUCACGCCGGGGGGCGCGGGUUCGAGUCCCGUCCACUCC
rnacentral:tRNA from 1 species